AGAGUUUGAUUCUGGCUCAGGAUGAACGCUAGCGACAGGCUAACACAUGCAAGUCGAGGGGCAGCAUAAAAGUAGCAAUACUUGGUGGCGACCGGCGCACGGGUGAGUAACGCGUAUGCAACCUACCUAUCAGAGGGGAAUAACCCGGCGAAAGUCGGACUAAUACCGCAUAAAACAGGGGCACCGCAUGGUGAUAUUUGUUAAAGAAAUUCGCUGAUAGAUGGGCAUGCGUUCCAUUAGGUAGUUGGUGAGGUAACGGCUCACCAAGCCGACGAUGGAUAGGGGAACUGAGAGGUUGGUCCCCCACACUGGUACUGAGACACGGACCAGACUCCUACGGGAGGCAGCAGUGAGGAAUAUUGGUCAAUGGGCGGGAGCCUGAACCAGCCAAGUCGCGUGAAGGAAGAAGGAUCUAUGGUUCGUAAACUUCUUUUGCAGGGGAAUAAAGUGCAGGACGUGUCCUGUUUUGUAUGUACCCUGAGAAUAAGGAUCGGCUAACUCCGUGCCAGCCGCCGC
rnacentral:rRNA from 1 species